rnacentral:ncRNA from 1 species
ACGUUUGUGUUUUCUGUUGAGAUCACAUUUUCUUCCACAGAAGUAUUUUUAUGUCUUGAAUCUCUCUGUAAAUAAGCUGUUUCUCUCUGCGGCCUUUGAGAGUUGUGAAAAACGUAUAUUACUUUGAGUCGGAGAUGCUCCACAGAGUAGGCAGUGUCCCGGCAUGGCUGGGCACUGAUGCUGAGAGAGAUGUAACGUUUUCUAAUGAGUGUUUUUGUACUCAGAAUUUGUUAGGAAAUAGAUUAGGAGUAGAUGCAGACUCUGUAAACAUCAGAGUCAGCCUGAAUCCCUGAAAAACACAAAUACAGCAGAGAUGCAUGAAAUGGCUGCUUUUACUCCUCAGAGAUUUUAAUUACCAGUUUCUUCCCAACUGCUGCUUUCCUGGGGCUACUUUACUUUGAGAAAAUUGGAGUGUUCAAAGCAGGCCGGUUGUUGGCAUACUGCAGCUAGGAACAAUGGAAUAGGACUCCAGCUCUGUCUUGUUGGUUUUCAGGAACAGGGCCAAGAUUAAGAGGGACAGCAAGGGGACGAAUGUAUUGUGCUGCUAGAGGUGAAAUUCCUGGACUGGCACAAGAUGGCCUAGAGUGAAAGCAUUUGCCAAGAAUGUUUUCAUUAAUCAAGAACAGAAGUCAGAUUUGAAGAUGAUCAGAUACCGUCAUAGUUCCGACCGGCGAUCCGGUGGCACACCUUGAAUCCUUUGCUCAAUUUUGGGCCCCUCGGGACAAGAAGGCCCUGGAG